UUGGUUGAGAAUUAGUCGAAAAGUAGACCUCCAGUUCCCUAUGUAGGUCUUCUAAUAUUUUGGGGUCGUUGAGCAAGCUUUCGUUAAGCCGCCAAGUUCCUCUCCCUUUAGCAGGGAAUUGUUCAUUCAAGUGGAGAAUGAUCGGCGCAUGAUCCGACCACGUUAUAAGGCCUAUAGUUGUGUUGACCACGUUGCUAAUCAAGGAGGUAGGUAUCAGGAAGCGGUCUAUUCGGGAGUACGAGUUAUGUGCCACUGAGUGAAAUGUGAAAUCCUUUUCUU